UGGUUCUGGCAUCGAUGAAGAACGCAGCGAAAUGCGAUAAGUAAUGUGAAUUGCAGAAUUCAGCGAAUCAUCGAAUCUUUGAACGCACAUUGCGCCCGCCAGUAUUCUGGCGGGCAUGCCUGUUCGAGCGUCAUUUCAACCCCCAAGCCCCGCUUGGUGUUGGGGACCUACGCGGCCGCCGCCGUAGGCCCCGAAAAUCAGUGGCAGGCCCGCCAGGGACCCGAGCGUAGUACAAUAACCCUCGCUCGCGGCUCCCGGGUGCGCCCCGCCGUAAAACGCGUUAAGCACUUCCAAAAGGUUGACCUCGGAUCAGGUAGGAAUACCCGCUGA
rnacentral:misc_RNA from 1 species